rnacentral:rRNA from 1 species
GACGAACGCUGGCGGCGUGCCUAAUACAUGCAAGUAGAACGCUGAAGAGAGGAGCUUGCUCUUCUUGGAUGAGUUGCGAACGGGUGAGUAACGCGUAGGUAACCUGCCUGGUAGCGGGGGAUAACUAUUGGAAACGAUAGCUAAUACCGCAUGAUAUUGAAUAUCGCAUGAUAAUUAAUUGAAAGAUGCAAUUGCAUCACUACCAGAUGGACCUGCGUUGUAUUAGCUAGUUGGUGAGGUAACGGCUCACCAAGGCGACGAUACAUAGCCGACCUGAGAGGGUGAUCGGCCACACUGGGACUGAGACACGGCCCAGACUCCUACGGGAGGCAGCAGUAGGGAAUCUUCGGCAAUGGGGGGAACCCUGACCGAGCAACGCCGCGUGAGUGAAGAAGGUUUUCGGAUCGUAAAGCUCUGUUGUAAGAGAAGAAACGGGUGUGAGAGUGGAAAAGUUCACACUGUGACCGGU